ensembl:snRNA Gm22978 predicted gene, 22978
CUACUUUCCUGGCACGGGAGAUACCAUGAUCAUGAAGGUGGCUAUCCAAGGGCAAGACUUAUCCAUUGCCCUCCAGAUGUGCUGACCCCUGCAAUAUCUGCAAAUGUGAGAAACUUGCAUGCAUAAUUUGGGGUAGUAGAGAGCUGCUUUCAUGAUCUCCC